rnacentral:lncRNA from 12 species
UUCUCCAGGGCACUCUGUCCCCUUGUCUCCUUCUCUGGGAUCUCCUCCCUGAGGAUCCCUGAGCAGCUCGAUCAGGACGCUGGGCCUGAGCAGCCACACUGCCCACACAGUCACCGUCACCGUGGGCCGCUCCAACCUGGUCAGGCUCCCCGUCCAGCCCUGCUCCCCACCAAGGGAAGUGCCCCUAACUGCAGACCUAGACCCAGGACAGCCAUACUGCGGUCCCUCCACGCAAGCUCUCGGGCCACAGACACUGCAACAAGCCCAGAGCAAAGUGGAUCCUGGGUGCUGAAAGACAGUGAGCAGCCUCAGACCCAGACAUCCACACCUGCAGGUCCUGGUGGGCCUCAGGGCUCCGAAUGCUACCAACACACGCACGUGUGCACGCAGCGGCCUCAUAAGGACAGCACCGGGGAGCAAGGAGCCCUUCUCUGAUCAGCAGGGAGCCUUCCUCCGGGCCUGAGGGCAGGAGGCAGCCCGGACACCAGCAGCUCAGAUCACAGCAGGUCCCGCCACCCGCAGUCCCAGAGCACAGGCUCCAGGGGCCAGGAACACAGGAGGAUCCAGGGAGGGUCCUGAGGCGGGAGCGAGGGACAGCCUGCCGCCCCCUCGGCCCACACAUCGGGGAGCAGAGGGUGGGAGCUUCAGGGGCACGGUACCAGGCUGGGCAGGGGUCCCGGCCCUUGUCGCUGACCCAUGUUCUGCAACCCCGCCCCCCGCCCCCAGACGAAGCCCAGGCUGGUUCACUUUCUGGGCCGUCUCUGAGGCCUCUCAGGGUCACGAAGCUGGAGGGCCCGGGUCCCAUAUCCUUCAGGUGCCAGAGACCACAGAGCGUGCAGCACGACAGGCAGGGGACCCCCUAGGAGGCCAGGACAGCCUCAGGAAGGUGAGCGGCCCCCAGGGCUGUGGUUAGGGUCACCCUGGGGCACCCACCCGGCCCUACACCUGCACUCAGGUCGGUUCCCACGCAGGGGCCCACCCUGCCCGCCCCGCGGCCCAGCUGGCACACCCACACAGCCCCAGCCUGGAGCCAGCUCUCUCUUCCAGCUUCCCUCCUGACCACCCCCUCAGACCGUCACCUGCUGGCCCCUGUGCAUCGUGCCACACACCCCCGACACCGGCCCCCGAAGGGCAUGUGCGCACACCUGAGUCCUCGUGGCUGGCCUCCACGGGAUGUGUGGGCGGCUGUCUGUGAAGAGUCACCCGCCGGGACCCGAGCCGCAAGGGGCGCACCAGGCUCUGCGCCCUGACCUCGCCACCCAGGGUCAUCUCAGAACUGCCACUCUGGCACUUUGCAACAGGAAGAGUGUCAGCGCCCACCUCGCCGUCGCCCGGGGGCAGACUCACUAGCACCUGUCACACGCUGACCCGACGCUCUCGGCUGUGAUCAUCCUCGGACACUUCUGUAAAGCUCCCCUCUGCGUCCCUAAAAUAGCAGACGGCCUCACAAGACUCCUUCCCGCCAGUGGCUCAGGUCCACGGGUGUGUCCACGAGAUACGAGGGAGACGCUCUCCAAAACGCAUUCAGGCGUUCUCCCAGAGGGGACAGCAAGCCCGCUACACGUUAACGGAAGU